rnacentral:lncRNA from 1 species
CUGUUGCCCAGGUGAUGGGUUCUUGAGAUGUCACAAAGGAGGAGCAUCAGAAACGGGGCUGAGGACCCUCCUCAUCAGGACAUCCACAGGAUAGUCUCCAGAGACCAGGAUUCUCCGAAGCUGGGCCAGUAGGAAGAAACCUUAGGCAGAGAGUUUGCUGGGGAAGCAGCACGAAAUCCCAGUCUCAAGCCUGAGAGUACAAAGUAUAGGAGGGCUGCCCACCAACCUCAAAGAAGAUGCUUCCCACUUCUCUCGACUUUGCCCUCAUUGAGAAAUCUAGCCACACCUUGACACAGGGCUGGAACAGGGUGCCAAGAAAGGAUGUGGUGGGAUCCGACAUGAGAUCAGAGGUGGAGUCCAGAGACCCCAUCAGGCACCCCGAAUUUCCUCUUCCAAUGGAAGCCUAAGCAGAAGACCACUUACAUGUGGAGGCAAUGAGGGUAUGAGUCCUAUGGGU